CCAUCAACCAUAAUAUGGAGGAAAUGAACUAUACAUUUAACACAUAAGGAUAAUCACGUCACCCCUACCUAUAUCCUAUAUGUACAAAUUACCUCGACUAACCUGUACCCCCGUACACUGACUCGGUACCGGUACCCCGUAUAUAGCCUCGUUAGUGUUAUUUUAUUGUGUUACAUUUUAUUAUUUUUUACUGGAGUUUAUUUCGUAAAUAUUUUCUAAACUCUUCUUGAACUGCACUGUUGGUGUAAAGGGCUUGUCAGCAUUUCACCGUACGGUCUACUUGUUGUAUUUGGCGCAUGUGACAAAUAAAGUUUGAUUUGACUUUAAGUAGCUAAUAAGAUCAAUUUAGGUCUGCAUUAUUGGUGAUUCUGGAGAAAAUAAUGUAUUAAGCACAUGUUAUUCUUCCAGAAUCCUUAUAUUUGAUAUACGCAUUCUCUAACUAAAGACAUUUCAAAAUAAAUUUGAUUAAACAUUUUUUUUAAAUAAUACAUUUGAUUUGAUUCUUACAGUACAUAACCGCUGAUAAUCAAGAGUAUCUGAAGGUUAAGAAGAGGACCAAACAAAAGUCAGAGAAGUCCUAUUCCCACUCCUCCAGAAGCAGGGCAGUGAUGACCCCAGUUGUCCCUAUCGCUCUGGGGGAGCUGGAGUCCCCUGGGACCAGUGAUGAUGAGGAGGCCACAGACCGGAAGGAGAGGGUCUCCAGUGCCAGGGAACGGCAUGAGCAAGCCAGAGCCAUGAUGGACACAUUCACUGAGAAGUUCCACUCUAUCGCAGAGGAUCUCCAAGAGAUGAAGAUUCCCAGGAAGAGGUCCACUCGACUGCGGUCAUCAUGCUCCCAGUCUGCCAAUGAGGAUGGAUCCCCCCUGGCCUCUACCAAAUCAGAUAAGGCCCUGAGGCGAGACUGGUCACGACAUAUGAUUACAGCCGGAGAGGCCGGUGGUGACAUCAUUCGAACACCUUCAUCAGCGUCAUUAUUCUCUUUGCCAACCAUUUAUGAGGUCGUCAAGGGGAGCAGCGAGUCCAAACCUGAUGUGUCCGGAGAUGAUGUCAAAAAGAGCAAGACGUCCAAAUGUAAAGUCAGGCAAGGCUUUCGCUAUUUCACCAAGGCUUUGACUGGACUGUUGCGUACAAAAGAUGACCCUACUGGAGAUGGACGGAUUGCGCGAAGUGUGACACCAUCCAAUGACACACUCAACAUGGUCAUGGCUCCUCCACAUCCACUCACUAACUGGCAUUUGUGAGCUACAUUCAGACAAAAAGGCAACCGCAUUUUGUAUGGAUGAUAUUUAGCAGAGGAUAUGUUUUUCUUAUAUAAAGGGUACAAAUGAAUAAUACAACUGUUCUGUUGGGAGUAGCGGUGUUUGGGUGGAAUCACUGGGGAAGCCAGAAAAAAAGCCAUAUUACAACCUAUGUGUUGUGAUAAUUGCGUUGUUUGCUCUAUAAAUCCAACCCUAGACUUUGAGAUUGACAGAGUAUGCAUCAACCUUUGUUCCUACCCAGCACUAACUGAUUCUACUGAUCAUCAAGACCUUCAUUAGAUAUACAGCUCUGUAAAGAAAUGAAGAGACCACUGCAAAAUGAAUGUUUCUCUGGUUGUACUAUUUAUAGGUAUGUGUUUGGGUAAAAUUAACAUUUUUGUUUUAUUCUAUAAACUAUUGACAACAUUUCUCCCAAAUUCCAAACUAAAAUAUUGUCAUUUAGAGCAUUUAUUUACAGAAAAUGACAACUGGUCAAAAGAACAAUAAAGAUGCAGUGUUUUCAGUCCUUGAAUAAUGCAAUGAAAAUAAG
ensembl:lncRNA